UGCAGUCGAACGGUGAAGCCAAGCUUGCUUGGUGGAUCAGUGGCGAACGGGUGAGUAACACGUGAGCAACCUGCCCUGAACUCUGGGAUAAGCGCUGGAAACGGCGUCUAAUACUGGAUAUGAGCUGCGGAGGCAUCUUCGUGGUUGGAAAGAUUUUUCGGUUUGGGAUGGGCUCGCGGCCUAUCAGCUUGUUGGUGAGGUAAUGGCUCACCAAGGCGUCGACGGGUAGCCGGCCUGAGAGGGUGACCGGCCACACUGGGACUGAGACACGGCCCAGACUCCUACGGGAGGCAGCAGUGGGGAAUAUUGCACAAUGGGCGGAAGCCUGAUGCAGCAACGCCGCGUGAGGGAUGACGGCCUUCGGGUUGUAAACCUCUUUUAGCAGGGAAGAAGCGAAAGUGACGGUACCUGCAGAAAAAGCGCCGGCUAACUACGUGCCAGCAGCCGCGGUAAUACGUAGGGCGCAAGCGUUAUCCGGAAUUAUUGGGCGUAAAGAGCUCGUAGGCGGUUUGUCGCGUCUGCUGUGAAAACCCGAGGCUCAACCUCGGGCCUGCAGUGGGUACGGGCAGACUAGAGUGCGGUAGGGGAGAUUGGAAUUCCUGGUGUAGCGGUGGAAUGCGCAGAUAUCAGGAGGAACACCGAUGGCGAAGGCAGAUCUCUGGGCCGUAACUGACGCUGAGGAGCGAAAAGGGUGGGGAGCAAACAGGCUUAGAUACCCU
rnacentral:rRNA from 1 species